rnacentral:rRNA from 1 species
CACGUAGGGGGCAAGCGUUGUCCGGAUUUAUUGGGCGUAAAGAGCUCGUAGGCGGCUUAGUAAGUCGGGUGUGAAACCUCCAGGCUCAACCUGGAGACGCCACCCGAUACUGCUGUGGCUAGAGUCCGGUAGGGGAGCGUGGAAUUCCUGGUGUAGCGGUGAAAUGCGCAGAUAUCAGGAGGAACACCAGCGGCGAAGGCGGCGCUCUGGGCCGGUACUGACGAUGAGGAGCGAAAGCGUGGGGAGCAAACAGG